rnacentral:rRNA from 1 species
UGGGGAAUUUUGGACAAUGGGCGCAAGCCUGAUCCAGCCAUACCGCGUGAGUGAAGAAGGCCUUCGGGUUGUAAAGCUCUUUCAGACGGAAAGAAACGGUUACGGCUAAUACCCGUGACUAAUGACGGUACCGUAAGAAGAAGCACCGGCUAACUACGUGCCAGCAGCCGCGGUAAUACGUAGGGUGCGAGCGUUAAUCGGAAUUACUGGGCGUAAAGCGUGCGCAGGCGGUUUGGUAAGACAGAUGUGAAAUCCCCGGGCUUAACCUGGGAACUGCAUUUGUGACUGCCAGACUAGAGUGUAGCAGAGGGGGGUAGAAUUCCACGUGUAGCAGUGAAAUGCGUAGAUAUGUGGAGGAAUACCGAUGGCGAAGGCAGCCCCCUGGGCUAACACUGACGCUCAUGCACGAAAGCGUGGGGAGCAAACAGGAUUAGAUACCCAGGUAGUCCCUG